rnacentral:rRNA from 1 species
GACGAACGCUGGCGGCGUGCUUAACACAUGCAAGUCGAACGAUGAAGCCUUAGCUUGCUUUGGUGGAUUAGUGGCGAACGGGUGAGUAACACGUGAGCAACGUGCCCAGGACUCUGGAAUAACCGCGGGAAACCGUGGCUAAUACCGGAUAGGUGCCGAGGCCGCAUGGUCUUCGGUUGGAACGUUUUUGCGGUUCUGGAUCGGCUCACGGCCUAUCAGCUUGUUGGUGGGGUAAUGGCCUACCAAGGCGACGACGGGUAGCCGGCCUGAGAGGGUGACCGGCCACACUGGGACUGAGACACGGCCCAGACUCCUACGGGAGGCAGCAGUGGGGAAUAUUGCACAAUGGGCGCAAGCCUGAUGCAGCAACGCCGCGUGGGGGAUGACGGCCUUCGGGUUGUAAACCUCUUUUAGUAGGGAAGAAGCGCAAGUGACGGUACCUGCAGAAAAAGCACCGGCUAACUACGUG